GACGAACGCUGGCGGCGUGCUUAACACAUGCAAGUCGAACGGAAAGGCCCUGCUUGCAGGGUACUCGAGUGGCGAACGGGUGAGUAACACGUGGGUGAUCUGCCCUGCACUUCGGGAUAUGCCUGGGAAACUGGGUCUAAUACCGGAUAGGAGCCAUUUUUAGUGUGAUGGUUGGAAAGUUUUUUCGGUGUAGGAUGAGCUCGCGGCCUAUCAGCUUGUUGGUGGGGUAAUGGCCUACCAAGGCGGCGACGGGUAGCCGGCCUGAGAGGGUGGACGGCCACAUUGGGACUGAGAUACGGCCCAGACUCCUACGGGAGGCAGCAGUGGGGAAUAUUGCACAAUGGGCGCAAGCCUGAUGCAGCGACGCCGCGUGGGGGAUGACGGCCUUCGGGUUGGAAACUCCUUUCGCUAGGGACGAAGCUUUUUGUGACGGUACCUAGAUAAGAAGCACCGGCUAACUACGUG
rnacentral:rRNA from 1 species